rnacentral:rRNA from 1 species
UGGUUGACYUCGGAUCAGGUAGGAAUACCCGCUGAACUUAAGCAUAUCAAUAAGCGGAGGAAAAGAAACCAACAGGGAUUGCCCUAGUAACGGCGAGUGAAGCGGCAACAGCUCAAAUUUGAAAUCUGGCCUUCGGGUCCGAGUUGUAAUUUGCAGAGGAUGCUUUUGGCGCGGUGCCUUCCGAGUUCCCUGGAACGGGACGCCUUAGAGGGUGAGAGCCCCGUACGGUUGGACACCAAGCCUCUGUAAAGCUCCUUCGACGAGUCGAGUAGUUUGGGAAUGCUGCUCUAAAUGGGAGGUAAAUUUCUUCUAAAGCUAAAUACCGGCCAGAGACCGAUAGCGCACAAGUAGAGUGAUCGAAAGAUGAAAAGCACUUUGAAAAGAGGGUUAAAUAGCACGUGAAAUUGUUGAAAGGGAAGCGUUUACGGCCAGACCUUUUCCUGGCGGAUCAUCUGGUGUUCUCACCAGUGCACUUCGCCAGGUUUAGGCCAGCAUCGGCUUCUGUAGGGGGAUAAAAGCAGUGGGAAAGUAGCUCCCUCGGGAGUGUUAUAGCCCUAAGCAUAAUA